UGCAGUCGAACGGAACAUGUCUAGCUUGCUAGAUGAUGUCGAGUGGCGGACGGGUGAGUAAUGCUUGGGAACUUGCCUUUGCGAGGGGGAUAACAGUUGGAAACGACUGCUAAUACCGCAUAAUGUCUUCGGACCAAACGGGGCUUCGGCUCCGGCGCAAAGAGAGGCCCAAGUGAGAUUAGCUAGUUGGUGAGGUAAAAGCUCACCAAGGCAACGAUCUCUAGCUGUUCUGAGAGGAAGAUCAGCCACACUGGGACUGAGACACGGCCCAGACUCCUACGGGAGGCAGCAGUGGGGAAUAUUGCACAAUGGGGGAAACCCUGAUGCAGCCAUGCCGCGUGUGUGAAGAAGGCCUUCGGGUUGUAAAGCACUUUCAGUUGUGAGGAAAAGUUAGUAGUUAAUACCUGCUAGCCGUGACGUUAACAACAGAAGAAGCACCGGCUAACUCCGUGCCAGCAGCCGCGGUAAUACGGAGGGUGCGAGCGUUAAUCGGAAUUACUGGGCGUAAAGCGCACGCAGGCGGUUUGUUAAGCUAGAUGUGAAAGCCCCGGGCUCAACCUGGGACGGUCAUUUAGAACUGGCAGACUAGAGUCUUGGAGAGGGGAGUGGAAUUCCAGGUGUAGCGGUGA
rnacentral:rRNA from 1 species